rnacentral:tRNA from 1 species
ACCGAAAUAGCUCAGUUGGGAGAGCGUUAGACUAUAGAUCGAAAGGUCUCUGGUUCGAUCCCGGGAUUCGGCA